AUGCCAAAUUAGAACAUGAAUGAAUCAAAUUGAACUUAACCAAGAACAGACUGAAUCCAUGCCGAAUUAGAAGACUGUUGGACUCCAUAAUUACAAUUCCUUCAACUUUCACUUGUUUAUUUCACAAAUCACUUGAUUAAUACAUGAAUGUAACCUAAAACUUGGUUUUGUUAUUGUUAACCAAGAACAUUAAUUCUUGAGCAAUUUGCUAAUUGGUAUUCACAUAGCGGCAAUCCUUUCUAAUCUCUCCUUGGUCAUCAAUAAGAGGAUUAUUCUCCGAUAACAACAGCAUAGCUCUAGAAAACUGAUCAUGGAAGUAGUCAUUAUCGGCAGCCAUUUUUUCCACAAAUGGAGACGUAAUUGGAUCAGAAGCCAAUUGUUGAUCAACUAAGAGUAAUCCCUUGUGGUUCAAUACGUUCUUGAAGUACAUAUUAUCCAGAAUCAUGGGUGUUACUCUGUCAUUUCUUGCGUACAGGACUGCCUUUGGGUCAGGGUCUGGAGUUGGGCACCUCCCUUUGAGGUACUCUGCGUAUUCAGGGUCCAAACUUGGAUCAACCGUAGGGUAGAGUCUUUGUACUAAAUUCACACAGUGAACUCUACCAACCGAGUGACCUCCUGAAUAAAAUAUAUUAGACCAUAACUAUAUAUAGUUUUCAUUAGUGUUUGAUGAAAUUGGAUUCAUACCUAAAAGAGCAACUGUUCCUUCAGCGUCAAUGCCAAUGGAUUGAAAGCGAGAAAGCACUAAUGAGAUGCUAUCGUUGUGAUUGGGGAGGAAAUCUUCAACCACUGCUGCAUAGCUCUCUUUGCUGUCCCUCCUCCCUGUUUUCAUUUCUAUUCUUGGUCCUCCUAACUAUAUUAUCAUCCCCACAGAAAUUCCAUGUUAAUGUUAUUUCCAUGUUUCUGAAUUCUUGAACCAGAUAUCUUUUCAAAAGGAAAAAACAGAUAUGUUGUUAAUUAGCAAUGGCCCAGGGCUAGCAGCCAUUCACCACAGGAUGAAUAAUACAUUCCUCAUCUCCACUUUGCAAGGGUAGCUUUAGUGUAAUUUACAAGUAAUUUGGAGAUCAUAAACAGCCUUUAACACAAAGGGUGCAUAGCCAUUUUCAGAAUUCAUGAGUGUAUAUUGAGUCGUCUUGAUUUAAAUAUACACAAUGGUCAAUAGUACAUGCAACCGUUAUAGUAGACAAGUAUUUUGAUGUGUGAGUGAAAGAGUUCCAUUAUUUAGAACUUAGAAGGCGUACCAUGGCGAUACCAUCUCUAGCAGAAAGGGCAACAAUAUCAGCACAAGAUACAGUCAGAGGGCAUUCAGCUUCAAGGGCAUCUUUGAUUGUGUUUACGUACUUGAAAUUUCUCAUUCCAAAGCUCCUUUGUGAUGCUUUCUCCGAUUCAAUUCCUUUCACCGUCUCCAACAACAGCGAUGCAUCACAUGACUUCACCGCACAAUCAUGAAAGAGAUUCCUAACCCAGGAAACUGCUGUAUUUCCAUGUUUCUUGUAAAGAUUGGUGACUUGCUCUUUGAUGAUCUCUUCGGCUCUUGGGCAACUCUGUGCAUAGAAGUUUAAUUGGAGUUCACUU
rnacentral:misc_RNA from 1 species